rnacentral:rRNA from 1 species
GUCGGUUGCACGAGCCGAAGCAGAAUUCGGUAAGCGUUGGAUUGUUCACCCACUAGACUACAGGGUCUCAACUGUUCCGUCCUUUUAUAUAAUCGGCGGGCAGAAAUAUACAACCCUAUGGUGGGGAUAGUUGGGUCGCUUGAGUGUGGAAGCGAUUACGCCAGCUAGUCGACACAGCAAACAUCUGCAGGCGCUGUGCGGCAACACAACCUGGAUCGGGGAAAGCUAAGGUUCUACGGAGCUAUGACAAUCCCGAGCGGAACUGCAGUUUGAGCGAUCUUGCUGCAAUGGCCCGUGUAGAGCGCGGAAAGGUGUGGGCGAAUCUCACUGACACUGAGAAUUGCUUAAGGGACAUGCCAGACCCCCGGGAAACCGGGUCCUACGGAUGAGCGCCUGCAGCGUGAAUCCAACAGGAACGCGAGCAUUGCGCUUUAUAUGAGAUGGGCAGCAAUCGAGAGCGGCCAGCAGGAAAUUUACUGGACGCGAGCAUCGGUAUAACUCAGAGCAAGGCUCAUUGCAAAGUCGAAGGAAUUCGCUGGACCAAUAAGUCAAUCAAGUAUGCCUCUCUGGGGAUCGAAUAGGGAACGUGAGCUGGGUUUAGACCGUCGUGAGACAGGUU